rnacentral:rRNA from 1 species
AAUGAACGCUGGCGGCAGGCCUCACACAUGCAAGUCGACCGAGCGGCGGACGGGUGAGUAAUGUAUGGGGAACUGCCUGAUGGAGGGGGAUAACUACUGGAACCGGUAGCUAAUACCGCAUACCAUCGGAUGUGCCCAGAUGGGAUUAGCUAGUAGGUGGGGUAACGGCUCACCUAGGCGACGAUCCCUAGCUGGUCUGAGAGGAGGACCAGCCACACUGGAACUGAGACCAGGUCCAGACUCCUACGGGAGGCAGCAGUGGGGAAGAUUGCACAAUGGGCGCAAGCCUGAUGCAGCCAUGCCGCGGGUAGGAAGAAGGCCUUCGGGUUGUAAAGUACUUUCAGCGAGGAGGCGUUACUCGCAGAAGAAGCACCGGCUAACUCCGUGCCAGCCGCCGCGGUAAUUC